rnacentral:rRNA from 1 species
CGGAUUUUGGGCGUAAGAGCUCGUAGGCGGUUUGUCGCGUCUGCCGUGAAAGUCCGGGGCUCAACUCCGGAUCUGCGGUGGGUACGGGCAGACUAGAGUGAUGUAGGGGAGACUGGAAUUCCUGGUGUAGCGGUGAAAUGCGCAGAUAUCAGGAGGAACACCGAUGGCGAAGGCAGGUCUCUGGGCAUUAACUGACGCUGAGGAGCGAAAGCAUGGGGAGCGAACAGGAUUAGAUACCCUGGUAGUCCAUGCCGUAAACGUUGGGCACUAGGUGUGGGGGACAUUCCACGUUUUCCGCGCCGUAGCUAACGCAUUAAGUGCCCCGCCUGGGGAGUACGGCCGCAAGGCUAAAACUCAAAGGAAUUGACGGGGGCCCGCACAAGCGGCGGAGCAUGCGGAUUAAUUCGAUGCAACGCGAAGAACCUUACCAAGGCUUGACAUGAACUGGAAAUACCUGGAAACAGGUGCCCCGCUUGCGGUCGGUUUACAGGUGGUGCAUGGUUGUCGUCAGCUCGUGUCGUGAGAUGUUGGGU